GUGAGGAAUAUUGGUCAAUGGGCGAGAGCCUGAACCAGCCAAGUCGCGUGAAGGAAGACGGCCCUACGGGUUGUAAACUUCUUUUGCAAUGGAAUAAAAAGAGUUACGUGUAAUUCAUUGUAUGUACAUUGCGAAUAAGGAUCGGCUAACUCCGUGCCAGCAGCCGCGGUAAUACGGAGGAUCCGAGCGUUAUCCGGAUUUAUUGGGUUUAAAGGGUGCGUAGGCGGAUUGGAAAGUCAGCGGUGAAAGUUUGCAGCUUAACUGUAAAAUUGCCAUUGAAACUGUCAGUCUUGAGUGCAAAUGAGGUAGGCGGAAUGUAUUGUGUAGCGGUGAAAUGCAUAGAUAUAACACAGAACACCAAUUGCGAAGGCAGCUUACUGGGAUGCAACUGACGCUGAGGCACGAAAGCGUGGGGAUCAAACAGGAUUAGAAACCCUAGUAGUCC
rnacentral:rRNA from 1 species